rnacentral:rRNA from 1 species
UGGGGAAUAUUGGACAAUGGGGGCAACCCUGAUCCAGCCAUGCCGCGUGUGUGAAGAAGGCCUUUUGGUUGUAAAGCACUUUAAGCAGUGAAGAAGACUCCAUGGUUAAUACCCAUGGACGAUGACAUUAGCUGCAGAAUAAGCACCGGCUAACUCUGUGCCAGCAGCCGCGGUAAUACAGAGGGUGCAAGCGUUAAUCGGAAUUACUGGGCGUGAAGCGAGCGUAGGUGGCUUGAUAAGUCAGAUGUGAAAGCCCCGGGCUUAACCUGGGAACGGCAUCUGAUACUGUUAGGCUAGAGUAGGUGAGAGGAAGGUAGAAUUCCAGGUGUAGCGGUGAAAUGCGUAGAGAUCUGGAGGAAUACCGAUGGCGAAGGCAGCCUUCUGGCAUCAUACUGACACUGAGGUUCGAAAGCGUGGGUAGCAAACA